UGUAAAGUACUGCUGUGCAUUAAAUGUUGU
rnacentral:piRNA from 1 species